UACGAAGGGGGCUAGCGUUGCUCGGAAUGACUGGGCGUAAAGGGCGCGUAGGCGGUUCGUACAGUCAGACGUGAAAUUCCCGGGCUCAACCUGGGGGCUGACGUUUGAUACGUACGGGCUUGAGUUCGGAAGAGGGUCGUGGAAUUCCCAGUGUAGAGGUGAAAUGCGUAGAUAUCAGGAGGAACACCGGUGGCCGAAGGCGGCUUACUGGACAGCUACCGACGCUGAGGACGA
rnacentral:rRNA from 1 species